UUACUACUCCCUCCGUCUGAAAAUACUUGUCAUUAAAAUGGAUAAAAGAAGAUGUAUUUUAAUUCUAGAUACAUUUCUUUCUGUCUAUUUUGAUGACAAAUAUUUUUAGACGGAGGGAGUAUUCA
rfam:Triticum aestivum genome assembly, contig: Triticum_aestivum_CS42_TGACv1_scaffold_001170_1AL